GCUUAUUUUCUUUUCACAAAUUUUUUAAGUCAGGGAAAACGGAUCAUUGGAGGAGCAUCAUGACUGGUGAAAUUCUCUACAUUUGUAUCUUCUGUCAGAUUCCAUAUAUUCUUUUGCUUGGAAUGAAGUUUCUAAACAUGCAGAUUUGUUUCACCUCUUUGUAGGUUUCAAGUUAAUAUAGCAAUCUUUAAUGUACUCUAGUAGUGAUCAUCAAACAUUUGCAGGGAUGUUUCCGAAAAUUCUUUCACAAACGUGACAAUACCUGAAGAUGCCUUUUCUCCAAGAAAGUGAGAUAAACUAAUCCAU
rnacentral:lncRNA from 1 species